GCCUAGGUGGCUUAGUUGCUAGAACACCUGCCUACUAAGCAGGAACCCUGGGUUCGAUUCCCAGCCUUGGUA